UACGUAGGGUGCGAGCGUUAAUCGGAAUUACUGGGCGUAAAGCGUGCGCAGGCGGUUCGUUGUGUCGGUGGUGAAAGCCCCGGGCUUAACCUGGGAAUGGCCAUGGAAACUGGCGAACUGGAGUGUGGCAGAGGGGGGUGGAAUUCCGCGUGUAGCAGUGAAAUGCGUAGAGAUGCGGAGGAACACCGAUGGCGAAGGCAGCCCCCCUGGGCCAACACUGACGCUCAGGCACGAAAGCGUGGGGAGCAAACAGG
rnacentral:rRNA from 1 species